UUAAAUUAAAAGAAAAAUCCAAUCAGAUUAGUAUUACUCGAGGUGCAUAUGUAACUGAUUUGAUGACGGCUGCAAAGAAUCCUGUUUUUAUAGCGAAGAUAAAAAGACCUUUGGUCGUGACUUUCGUUGGCGAAGAUGGAGUAGAUGGAGGAGGCUUAAGGAGAAAUUUACUGUCGAUGAUGAUAGAUCAUGCAAAGGAUGUUUUCUAUGUUGACCCUGAUCAAGUCGGAAUCGACCAGGAUGAACUCGAUGAGUUAUAUUUCACGCUUUAAAUUUUUUUGGGUAUUGCUAUUAUCCAAGAAAAACUAUUUCCUAAGUUUUUUCUACAAACUUUCAACAAUCUAAAAUCGCAGUAUGGUAGGAACUUCAAAUAUCAUCCGUUGAACCGAGGAUUAGCGCUCUUCGAUCUGGACAAGAUGUUUGAAGAUAAGCAAUUUUCUGCCUUAUUCGCUGACUUU